rnacentral:rRNA from 1 species
GACGAACCGAGCGAACGUUGUUCGGAAUUACUGGGCGUAAAGGGCGCGUAGGCGGAUGUCUAAGUUGGGGGUGAAAUCCCGGGGCUCAACCUCGGAACCGCCUUCAAUACUGGAUAUCUUGAGUUCGGGAGAGGUGAGUGGAAUGCCGAGUGUAGAGGUGAAAUUCGUAGAUAUUCGGCGGAACACCAGUGGCGAAGGCGACUCACUGGCCCGAUACUGACGCUGAGGCGCGAAAGCGUGGGGAGCAAACAGG